GCCGGCGUCAUUUUCUAGACCAGCCAGCAGUGAGUCUCCACAUCUCAUUUUUCACUUCAUCCUCUGCCGUGUCUAAACUUCUCCAACAUGACCACAAGAUCUAGUCGGAUGUCUUUCACCCGCUCUACCCCAGUGUACCGUGCUGCCAGUAUUUAUGCUGGUGCUGGUGGACAGGAUGUUCGCAUCUCCUCUGCUUCUGCAUCUUCCCUGCGUUCUGGCAUUCCACUUAGACCUUCAACCUCCUUUAAGCUGAGCAGUGGAUUGAGUGGAGGCAUGGGUGCCGGUUACGGUGGUGCCGGUUACGGUGGUGCCAGCGCGUCCGUGACAGCCAGCGGUGGCUCCGGUGCUUCGAUCCUGGGCAAUGAGAAGGGAGCCAUGCAGAACCUGAACGAUCGCCUGGCCAAUUACCUGGAGACGGUGAAGACCCUGGAAAAGGCCAACAAGGAACUGGAGCUGAAGAUCAUGGAGGCCCUGGAGAAAGGAGGGCCUGACAUGAGAGACUACAGCAAGUAUGAGCCCAUCAUAGACGACUUACGCAGACAGAUCUUCGAUAAAAUAAUGGAUAACGCCCGUUUAGUGCUUCAGAUUGACAACGCCCGCCUCGCUGCCGACGACUUCAAAGUCAAAUCUGAGAAUGAGAUGGCGAUCCGCCUGUCCGUGGAGGCCGACAUUGGCGGGCUGAAGAAAGUCCUCGACGAAACGAACAUGAGCAGGCUCAACAUCGAGAACGAGAUUGAAGCCGUGAAGGAGGAGCUUCUAUUCCUAAAGAAGAACCAUGAGAACGAAGUGAUGGAGCUGAGGAGUCAGAUCUCACAGUCAGGUGUGCAGGUGGAUGUAGACGCUCCCAAAGGUCAGGACCUGUCCCAGAUCAUGGAGGACAUGAGAGCCAACUACGAGAAGAUCGCAUUGAAAAACGCAGAGGACCUCAAACGGUGGCAUGAAAAUCAGAUUGCAGAUGUGCAGGUGCAGGUAUCACAGAACACAGAGGCUCUCCAGGGGGCCCAAAUGGAGAAGAGCGACUUAUUACGACAGAUACAGACUCUGGAAAUUGAACUUGCAUCUCAACAGAGCUUAAAAGCCUCUUUAGAAGACACCCUGCGCAACACAGAGCUACGUAACAACAUGGAAAUGGAGAAGUAUAACGCCCUCAUUAUCCGGCUGGAGGAGGAGCUGGCUAGCUUACGCGCGAACAUACAGCAGCAGACCCAAGAGUACGAGGCGCUGCUCAACAUGAAGAUGAAACUUGAGGGCGAGAUCAGCACUUACAAGACUCUGCUGGAUGGUGGAGACUUCAAGUAAGAGCUAUAAAGAUGUGGUGGAAGAAAAAAAAUGCAGGUCAAGGCAAGAUGAUGGUGAUGGUGGAGGCUCCAGGAUGCACUGGACGAGCUGGAGGCCGCCGACUAAUUUGUAACAAAGGAUUGGGAGUCAUCGCAACAAUGGAAGCAAUCUGCCCACACCCAUUAAUUAUGAGUGGGGUGGGUGGAGGAGUUUUGACAUUUUUUGCACUAUAACCACAUGUCAAGUGAACCCUGAUUUAAGCAGUUUUUAAUAAAGGCAUUAUUCCACCACAGUGAAACAUGGAUCACUGCCUGAUCUGACCGCAAAAUAAAAACAAAUAAAACCACUUCUUAAACCUGAA